AUACCUUUCUCGGCGUUUUGACUAAGAUCAAGUAGUGUCUGUUCUUAUCAGUUUAAUAUUUGAUAUGUGGACCAUUGAUUGACUAUGAUAUUAAAUUAAUUUUUGUUUUGGGGGGAUCAUUAUAGUAGCUUGCUACUAGAUUCUUUGUGUGUCAUCCUUGUGUUGCACUAUUGCAUUGGUCGGCGUACUCAAC